rnacentral:rRNA from 1 species
AAUUUUGGACAAUGGGCGCAAGGCUGAUCCAUCCAUGCCGCGUGAGUGAAGAAGGAAAUCGGGUUGAAAAUCUCUUUCGGACGGAAAGAAAUCGCGCAGGCUAAUACCCUGCGCGGAUGAAUGGACCGUCAUAAGAAGCACCGGCCAACUACAUGCCUCCUGCCGGGGUACUCCCGAGGGUGCGAGCGUUAAUCGGAAGUACUGGGCGUAAAGCGUGCGCAGGCGGUUGAUUAAGACAGGCGUGAAAUCCCCGGGCUUAACCUGGGAACUGCGCUUGUGACUGGUCAGCUAGAGUACGGCAGAGGGGGGUGGAAUUCCACGUGUAGCAGUGAAAUGCGUAGAGAUGUGGAGGAACACCGAUGGCGAAGGCAGCCCCCUGGGCCGAUACUGACGCUCAUGCACGAAAGCGUGGGUAGCAAACAGG